UAUAUACAAAAGUGUCGUGAUCUGUUGGCUCGCGUCAUUUGAAAUUUAAUUAAUUUUUGAAAUGACGUAAUUGAUGUGCCGUUUAAUUAAAUUUCAAAUGACGCGAGCCAACAGAUCACGACACUUUUGUAUAU
rnacentral:miRNA from 1 species